rnacentral:rRNA from 1 species
GAAUUUAUUUAAACGGCCGCAGAAUUUUAACUGUGCUAAGGUAGCAUAAUCAUUUGUUGUUUAAAUGGCAACUAGUAUGAAUGGUUAAACGAUUCCUUUCUGUCUAUCAUUAACAUCUAAUAAAAAUUGUUAUUAAAGUUAAAAAGCUUUAAUGAAAAUAAAAGACAAAAAGACCCUGUAGAGUUUUAUUUCAAAUUUUAAAAUUUAAAUUUAUUGAAUUUUAGUUGGGGCAACUAGAAAAAUUUUAUAAAUUUUUCUAAAAUAAUAAAUAAUUUUAUCAUUAUUAUUAAUAAUUCUAAUAAUUACCUCGGGGAUAACAGAAUAAUUUUUCUUUUAGAGUUCAAAUCGACAAGAAGACUUAU